UCCCUUAGAUGUCCUGGGCCGCACGCGUGCUACACUGACGCAUACAGCGAGCACUUUCCAGUUCCGAGAGGCUACUGGUAAUCAUCAAUAUGCGUCGUGAUGGGGAUAGAUCUUUGGAAUUCUGGAUCUUGAACGAGGAAUGCCUAGUAAUCGCAGGUCAUUAGCCUGCGAUGAUUAAGUCCCUGCCCUUUGUACACACCGCCCGUCGCUACUACCGAUUUCGAGUGGUCAGGUGAAUCUUUCGGACUGUGGGCGCCCUUGAGGUGUUCGCGGAAAGUCAGGUAAAUCUUAUCACUUAGAGGAAGUAAAAGUCGUAACA
rnacentral:rRNA from 1 species